GUGUCAGCCGCCGCGGUAAUACGUACUGUGCGAACGUUAUUCGGAAUCACUGGGCUUAAAGGGUGCGUAGGCGGCCAAUUAAGUAGGGUGUGAAAUGCCAGAGCUCAACUUUGGCAUUGCGCUCUAGACUGGCUGGCUUGAGUGAGAUAGGGGUGUGCGGAACUUCCAGUGGAGCGGUGAAAUGUGUUGAUAUUGGAAGGAACGCCGGUGGCGAAAGCGGCACACUGGGUCUUAACUGACGCUGAGGCACGAAAGCCAGGGGAGCGAACGGGAUUAGAUACCCCGGUAGUCCUGGCUGUAAACGAUGAGCACUAGACGGGAGAGGCUUUACGCCUAUUCGGUCGUAGCAAAAGCGCUAAGUGCUCCGCCUGGGGAGUAUGGUCGCAAGGCUGAA
rnacentral:rRNA from 1 species